GAUGAACGCUGGCGGCGUGCCUAAUACAUGCAAGUCGAGCGAACGGACGAGAAGCUUGCUUCUCUGAUGUUAGCGGCGGACGGGUGAGUAACACGUGGAUAACCUACUUAUAAGACUGGGAUAACUUCGGGAAACCGGAGCUAAUACCGGAUAAUAUUUUGAACCGCAUGGUUCAAAAGUAAAAGACGGUCUUGCUGUCACUUAUAGAUGGAUCCGCGCUGCAUUAGCUAGUUGGUAAGGUAACGGCUUACCAAGGCAACGAUGCAUAGCCGACCUGAGAGGGUGAUCGGCCACACUGGAACUGAGACACGGUCCAGACUCCUACGGGAGGCAGCAGUAGGGAAUCUUCCGCAAUGGGCGAAAGCCUGACGGAGCAACGCCGCGUGAGUGAUGAAGGUCUUCGGAUCGUAAAACUCUGUUAUUAGGGAAGAACAUAUGUGUAAGUAACUGUGCACAUCUUGACGGUACCUAAUCAGAAAGCCACGGCUAACUACGUG
rnacentral:rRNA from 1 species